rnacentral:lncRNA from 1 species
AUGUCCUUGGGGUUCGGGGGUGACCCCGGCUGUGGGUGGGGGUGUCCCCCGAGCUGCCACCCCCGGCCCCGCCCGCGCCCCUCCCCGUCCCGCCCCGCCCAGGGGCGGCCCUUGGGGGCAGCGGCUGCGAGCGGAGCGGCUCCGGCACCGGGACGGAGCCAUCGGGCCGAGAGAACAAUAGCGGCGCUGGAAAACAAUGGAGCGGCCGCCGCUCCCCGCGUAGCGAUGCGGGCAGGACGCGGGGCAGGAAUCCCGGGAGCAGCGCAGCAUCCGCGGCUCGGGGUGAGCGCUCGGCCUCGGCUCCGGGGGGAUGCUCUGAUCUCCGGGCUCCUCCGCCCUCCGGGGAUGCUCGGAUCCCGAUGGAAGCGCCCUUGGGAAAGGGAGAGGAGCUGCAGGAGGGCGCAUCCCCCGGGAUAUUCCCACAAUCCCUCGGCUGCGCCGCUCCUCCCGCCCCGCCGGGGAUGCCGGGGAUGCUCCCGAGGCUGCAAAACCCCCCCCAGAAUUCAGAUUUCUUCAGAUCAUCGCUCUCCUGCUGAAAACGCGGAUUUGGGGGGGGGGAUUUGCCGCUUUUUCUCUUAUUUUGUUGUGCUGGAGCCGCGCGUUUCCCCGGAGCUGGGCUGAGAACGCGGCCGGGCUCCCUCAGUUUGGGCUGCGGGGAUGCGGGAGGGGCUUCGGGGAGGUCGAUUUUAGGGGAAGAGGGGAAAAAUCCGGGCCCCGCGGGGUCCGUCAGGCCCGGGGAGGACCCGGGGAGGACCCGGGGAGGACUCGGGGAGGGCCGGAUGGGUCUGGAGAAGCGCUCGGAGAACUCAGAGGGGCUCAGAGACCUCAGAGAAGAACUGAGAGAACUCAGAGGAGAACUGAGAGAACUCAGAGCAGAACUGAGAGAACUCAGAGGAGAACUCAGAGGAGAAUUCAGAGAGGCUCAGACCGGGCAGGGCACGGCGGAAACGCGUCAGCUCCGAGGGGGAAACUGAGGCACGGGGGUGCCGGGAAUGGGGACGGCCCCAAAGCGCCCCGGUUGAGCAAUGGAGCAACUCGCGCUUUGCCAGGGCUUUGGUCCGGGUCAUUUCCAGCCUUUUUCGGGUCAUUUUCAGCCUUUUUCGGGUCAUUUUCUGCCUUUUUCGGGUCAUUUCCAGCCUUUUUCGGGUCAUUUCCAGCCUUUUUCGGGUCAUUUCCAGCCUUUUUCGGGUCAUUUUCUGCCUUUUUCGGGUCAUUUCCAGCCUUUUUCGGGUCAUUUCCAGCCUUUUUCGGGUCAUUUCCAGCCUUUUUCGGGUCAUUUUCAGCCUUUUUCGGGUCAUUUUCAGCCUUUUUCGGGUCAUUUUCUGCCUUUUUCGGGUCAUUUCCAGCCUUUUUCGGGUCAUUUCCAGCCUUUUUCGGGUCAUUUCCAGCCUUUUUCCAAAGGUGGGACACUUUCCUCCUCCCCAGGGCUGGGGGAGCUCCGGGAGCCGCCUCUCCCCCCCAGCCCUGCUCCUCUGCAGACCCAAAAAAGGAAGAAUUUGCCCCAUUUCUGGGCUCGAGGAAGGGGAUGUGAUGACGGAGGCGAAGGUGGCAGAGCCGGGGCGUAAACAGGAAACGAGUCCUGAGCACGGGAGGAUGAACCUGCACUUUGGAGCUCCCCAAA